UGGGGAAUUUUGCACAAUGGGGGAAACCCUGAUGCAGCGACGCCGCGUGAUUUAGAAGGCCUUCGGGUUGUAAAAAUCUUUUGUAUGGGAAGAAAAUGACAGUACCAUACGAAUAAGGACCGGCUAAUUACGUGCCAGCAGCCGCGGUAAUACGUAAGGUCCGAGCGUUGUCCGGAAUCAUUGGGCGUAAAGGGUACGUAGGCGGAUAGGCAAGUUAGAAGUGAAAUCCUAUAGCUCAACUAUAGUAAGCUUUUAAAACUGCUCAUCUUGAGGUAUGGAAGGGAAAGUGGAAUUCCUAGUGUAGCGGUGAAAUGCGCAGAUAUUAGGAGGAAUACCGGUGGCGAAGGCGACUUUCUGGCCAUAUACUGACGCUGAGGUACGAAAGCGUGGGUAGCAAACAGG
rnacentral:rRNA from 1 species